rnacentral:rRNA from 1 species
GUUUGAUUAUGGCUCAGAUUGAACGCUGGCGGGAUGCUUUACACAUGCAAGUCGAACGGCAGCACGGACUUCGGUCUGGUGGCGAGUGGCGAACGAGGUGAGUAAUGUAUCGGAACGUGCCUAGUAGCAGGGGGAUAACUACGCGAAAGCGUAGCUAAUACCGCAUACGCCCUUCGGGGGGAAAGCGAGGGGACCUUCGGGCCUCGCACUAUUAGAGCGGCCGAUAUCGGAUUGGCUAGUUGGUGGGGUAACGGCUCACCAAGGCGACGAUCCGUAGCGCUGGUUUGAGAGGACGACCAGCCACGCAGGACUGAUUACGGCCCAGACUCCUACGGGAAGGCAUGACGGGAAUUUUGGACAAUGGGGAAACCUGAUCCAGCCAUCCCGCGUGUGCGAUGAAGGCCUUCGGGUUGUAAAGCACUUUUGGCAGGAAAGAAACGGCACGGGAUAAUACCCCGUGCAACUGACGGUACCUGCAGAAUAAGCAGCUAACUACAUUGCCAGCAGCCGCGGUAAUACGUAGGGUGCAAGCGUUAAUCAGAUUACUGGGCGUAACGCGUGCGCAGGCGGUUCGAAGAAAGAUGUAAAUCCACAGGCUUAACUUUGGAACUGCAUUUAACUACCGAGCUAAGUGUGUCAGAGGGAGGUGGAAUUCCGUCAGCAGCGAGCCGAGUAAACGAAUAUGCGGAGGAACACCGAUGGCGAAGGCAUCAGGAUAACACUGACGCUCUUGCACGAAAGCGUGGGAGCAAACAGGAUUAGAUACCCUGGUAGUCCACGCCUAAACGAUGUCAACUAGCUGUUGGGGCCUUCGGGCCUUGGUAGCGCAGCUAACGCGUGAAGUUGACCGCCUGGGGGAAAUACGGUCGCAAGGUCAAUAAAGGAAUCAAUACAGGACCGCACAAGCGGUGGAUGAUGGAUUAAUUCGAUGCAACGAAAAGUACCUACCCUUGACGUAUGGAAUCGAAGAGAUUUGGGAGUGCUCGCAAGAGCAGACACAGUGCUGCAUGACCGUCGUCAGCUCGUGUCGUGAAUGUUGGAUUCGUCCCGCAACGAGCGCAACCCUUGUCAUUAGUUGCUACGAGGGCACUCUAAUGAGACUGCCGGUGACAAACCGAGGAGAGGAAGGUCGAGGAUGACGUCAAGAUCCUCAUGGCCUUAUGGUGGGCUUCCACGUCAUACAAUGGGUCGGGACAGAGGGUCGCCAACCCGCGAGAGGCCAAUCCCAGAAACCCGAUCGUAAGUCUGGAUCGCAGUCUGCAACUCGACUGCGUGAAGUCAAGAAUCGCUAGUAAUCGCCGGAUCCAGCAUGUCGCGGUGAAUACGUUCCCAGGUCUUGUACACCGCCCGUCACACCAUAGGGUGAGUUUUGCGAAGUAGUUAACAACCACGUAAGGAGGGCGAUUACCACAGUAGGGAUUCAUGACUGAGGUGAAGUCGUAACAAGGUAA